UAUUAUGUAUAUUAAAUAAAUUUGUCAUCCUGUAAGUAAUUUUUGAAUCUUUUAUUAAUCUGGAUAUAGUCAAUUUGAUUGAAAUAUAUGUCAUUUAGAGCCUUCUGAGUUCUAUUAUAUAUAUAUUUACGCGGAGACAUUGUGCUUAUCACAAUAAGUCUUUUAUCAAUAUUAGAGUUUAUAAGCCUGAGUCCGUUUUCACUAAUUAUAUCAAGAAAGUUAUGAAUCCCAAUCGUUGUUCUGAAAACAAUUUUUCUCUAACUUGGCAUUAAAAUUCUCAAAGACAUCCCGAUUCUACUUCGUGGGAUUACACUUAGUGUGCACACUCGUCCUUCUGCUCAUGUGCUUUUCAUUCCAUAGAUGCGUGUUUAUCAAAGUAAUGCAGUAUCAAGGAACCAUCCUUUUAUUGUUAGCACUAAUAUCCUUGUGUUGACACUUUUAAAUUCUAUUAAAAAAAUAACUACACUAUUGUCUUGAAUAUCUAGAUUUCUUUGGUGGCAUUAUCUUAUUUCUUGUGAGGCCACCACUUCUAAAUUGUAUCUCUCUGUUUCGUUGAUAAAGGAUUGUACUAUGUCAGGUUUUAAAAGUGUUUGAAUAUUCCAAGUUCUAAAAUGUUAUAUUUUAUUACCCUCAUUUGUAAAAUUGAUAUCUCUAUCCACAUGAAAUUUUAAUUAAAAUAAAUGUUGGUGAUAGAAGUUGGUGAUCAACCCAUUGAUGAGAUGCUUCACUUUAAUUCUACCGAUACAUCAAUGAUACUCCACUACUCUCCCCUUACCAAAAACUAAAAGUGAAAAAUCUCGUUAACGGAUUGACGGAAACCAAAAAUGUUAACACUGAAAUUAAUUUUAACGAAAAUAUCAUUCAUUUGUAGAUUUUUUAAUAAAGGACGCUCGUUGAAAAUUAAAUGCAGGUAGAAGUUUUGACCCCAAAUAUCAGGUUGACUAAAAAUUACGUUUAUGCAACAAUCUAGAACUGUUUAUUUCUUAAAUUAUACUAAUGAAUUAAUCUAAAAAAAGUUAAUACUUUCUGAAAUAAUGAGUGUCUUAUUGAAAGCUGACCGUUAUGCAGUAUUUCAAUGAAGUGUUGAGAGGUAUUUUCUUUCUUACAAAAAAUAUUCGUUUGUUGGCUCAGUUUUGUUUUAUAUUUUAUACAAAGUUAAUGACUAAUAUUGUGGUAUCGGAUUCACUUUAAACUUUAAAUAGUGUUAAUUCUUAAUUUAAAUUGACCUAGUGCUGUAAUGAACAAAUAUAUUUAAUAUAAAAAAUUAAAACCAAUUGAACUAUUUGUUAGGAAUAUUGUUAAUUGUGGAUGUUUUAAACUUAUUAAAAUGUUUUAAAAAGCUCCGAGCAGGACCAUUCAACGUUUAAAUUAUAUGUUUAUAGUAGUUAUUGCUAUAGAGUUUUAAACAAAAAAAUAUAUAACACGCUUUUUUUUCGUUUUUCAAAAAAUACGUUAAAUUUAUUAAGUUUUUUGAAUUGUUAUUAAUAAUAACUUAUUAUACAUAUUGUGUGUAAAAGAAUAAGUACGUUUUAACCUUCCCCAUCGCACUAUGAUAUUGAUCGAUAAGAGCAUAGUUCGAUCCCAUUAUUACUACUAAUUACUAUUAGCAUAAAGUAAUAAAAAUACAUUGUGACAUUGUUCGUUUUUCGAAGUAUUACGAUCGUUCUCUUCGUCCGAAUGUUCAGAAAAUUAAAAAAAAACACCGGAUUAAAAAUUUUCGAGAUAUAGAUAUUAUUCAUACCGAAUUAUAUUAUAUUUUGUAUAUUGUAUUAUUGCAUUUUAUAUGUUUAUUUCCUGUUAAUUGUAAAGUUUUUUUUUUUUUAGUUACAAUAAUAUUAUUUUACAUACCUACGUUACAUAAUAUUGUUAAUUAUUAAUCAGUCCAAUAUGAAUAUUAUAAUAUUUGAGCAUUUGACCUUAUUAAAUUCUCACUUGAGAUCAUUAAUCAAUUAAUAACGAAAUAAUAAACGUACUUGAUAAAAAUAAAAUGUUCGUAUUAUAAGGCUCAAAGCUGUUAUUCCUCUCUUAAACACUAAAUAAUAUAACAAUGAAAUAGGGUAAACAAUAAAAAAAAAAAGUGCUGAUACUGCUGAUUGGUGUGCCAGUAUUACAGUUGGAAAGUUCGAAAAGUAGGACACUAAUCAAUGGUUUCGAAAAACGGUUCUAAAAGAAAUUAGGUUAAAUAUGUUUUAAAAUGCCGUUAUUUUUGAGAUAAUGAACUAAAUUCGCAAGCCUUUAUCUACAACAAAGACAAUUUUGUUCAUAAAGAAACAAAUAAAAACUAAACAAACAAAGAACUGAUACUGAUGACGGUGCGCUACUAUUGUAGGUGGGAAAUUGGGACGAUAGGGUACACAAAAUUAAUUAAUUAAUAUCAGUAAGCAACAAUAAACCAUUGCUAACGAAAAAACAAAUCUGAGCGGAAUUCAGUUAAUUUAGUGAUGCGUUGUCAACAAUUAUAUAAUCUAUGUCAUGUAAUGGUAAAAUAAUUAAAUAAGCAUUAUAUAUUUUCUUUAAUAAUAUUUGUUUAAUAUUUUUUAAUAUUUUCCUAUUUUUAAGUGUUUUUCACAGUUGCUGGGAAAAUUCUUGGGAAAACCGAAAAUGACCCCCUUUAAGUAUAUUUCCAGUUAGAUUUCCUUUCAGAAAAAAUGCUAUCAUUAUAAAUCUGAGCAAAAUUACUGGUAAAAAAGUUUGUACAACAAAUCGAAGGGUAUUUUUUGAUUAAAAAAGUCUGAGCGAUCGAUAGCUGGGUCUCUAGGUACACCUAAAAUAAAUGCAAAACAAUUGUUUGAAACCCGGAUUUGACCUCGCGAUCUCUAGGAUGACAAUAGAUACCUAUAAACAUUAGACUACGACAAACAUAGUUUAAAGUUGAAAAUGUAGAGUUAUUUAACAUAACACAUAAUAUCAGAACUUUAAAAGGCUAUAAUUUCGAAACUUAGUCCGUUCAAUUCUGUCUUCACCAUCGUUCUUAAAUCGUCUACACAGGGUGUUUCACGAGGAUUCGGCAAAUGCAAUAACUUUGUCAACAAUAUGCCAUAUUAUAGUAAAAUAAUUAAAUAGGCACUAUAUAUUUUCUUUAAUAAUAUUUGUUUAAUAUUGUACUGAUUUUCUGGGUUUUUCAAAUUUUCUGAGAAAACUCCGGGGAAAAUGGAAAAACAACUUCUUUAAAGUACCUCGCCAGUGAAAUUUUCCUUCAGAAACAUUGCUAUAAUUAAGAUUUAGAGCCAAAUUUCUGGUUGAAAAGUUAUCCACAGAAAAAAAUAACAACUUUGUAAUUCCAUAAAAAAAAUUAAUACAGUUUUCAAUAUUUAUAGGCUGUUUUAAUUCAAGCAUUACUUACAAUAUAUUGG